rnacentral:tRNA from 1 species
ACUUUCGUAGUAUAGUGGUCAGCACGUUCAACGCAUAACCGAGAGGUCCGUGGUUCGAUUCCCGGCGAAGGCG